rnacentral:rRNA from 1 species
UACAGAGGUGGCAAGCGUUGUUCGGAAUUACUGGGCGUAAGGGGCGCGUAGGCGGCCAUCUAAGUCAGACGUGAAAUCCCCCGGCUUAACCUGGGAACUGCGUCUGAUACUGGACGGCUCGAGUAUGGGAGAGGGAUGUAGAAUUCCAGGUGUAGCGGUGAAAUGCGUAGAUAUCUGGAGGAAUACCGGUGGCGAAGGCGGCAUCCUGGACCAUUUACUGACGCUGAGGCGCGAAAGCUAGGGGAGCAAACGGG